CUCAUUAAAUCAGUUAUCGUUUAUUUGAUAGUACCUUACUACUUGGAUAACCGUGGUAAUUCUAGAGCUAAUACAUGCUGAAAACCCCAACUUCGGGAGGGGUGUAUUUAUUAGAUAAAAAACCAACGCCCUUCGGGGCUUCUUGGUGAUUCAUGAUAACUUCACGGAUCGCAUGGCCUUGCGCCGGCGACGGUUCAUUCAAAUUUCUGCCCUAUCAACUUUCGAUGGUAAGGUAUUGGCUUACCAUGGUUUCAACGGGUAACGGGGAAUUAGGGUUCGAUUCCGGAGAGGGAGCCUGAGAAACGGCUACCACAUCCAAGGAAGGCAGCAGGCGCGCAAAUUACCCAAUCCCGACACGGGGAGGUAGUGACAAUAAAUACUGAUACAGGGCUCUUUUGGGUCUUGUAAUUGGAAUGAGUACAAUUUAAACCUCUUAACGAGGAACAAUUGGAGGGCAAGUCUGGUGCCAGCAGCCGCGGUAAUUCCAGCUCCAAUAGCGUAUAUUAAAGUUGUUGCAGUUAAAAAGCUCGUAGUUGAAACUUGGGCCUGGCUGGCAGGUCCGCCUCACCGCGUGUACUUGUCCGGCCGGGCCUUUCCUUCUGGAGAACCUCAUGCCCUUCACUGGGUGUGUUGGGGAACCAGGACUUUUACUUUGAAAAAAUUAGAGUGUUCAAAGCAGGCCUUUGCUCGAAUACGUUAGCAUGGAAUAAUAGAAUAGGACGUGCGGUCCUAUUUUGUUGGUUUCUAGGACCGCCGUAAUGAUUAAUAGGGACAGUCGGGGGCAUCAGUAUUCAAUUGUCAGAGGUGAAAUUCUUGGAUUUAUUGAAGACUAACUACUGCGAAAGCAUUUGCCAAGGAUGUUUUCAUUAAUCAGUGAACGAAAGUUAGGGGAUCGAAGACGAUCAGAUACCGUCGUAGUCUUAACCGUAAACUAUGCCGACUAGGGAUCGGGCGAUGUUCUUUUUCUGACUCGCUCGGCACCU
rnacentral:rRNA from 1 species